AUAUAUAGAGUUGAGCUAGAAUACUAUCGAUAGCAAACGGGUUCCGUUGCCACCCAUUUGUUUUCGAUGAUGGAGCCUCCAAAUCGACGAUCGGCACCGCUGAACAUGAUCUAUACCACUUGAAGUGUUUAGAAAUCAAAUUUCAUACAGUUUCAACAUUGUUCUCUUAUCCAUCGAGUGGACACAAAAAUGAACGGCUGAAAAUGAAUAUUCUUUAAAAAAUGAUGAUAGGAGUCUUGUAAUCAAGAUCAAGAGUAUAGAUCUUGUUUUAAAUAGUUUAAAGAAUUUUCUAACAAACAUUCAAUUGAUUUGGAUAUCUUUACGCCGUUAAACGAGAAAACGCCUCAUAUUGACCAUUAAAAUUACAAAUUUUGAAACCUUUUAAUCAUUAGGCAAAUGAUGUCGAAAAGAUUUCAAAUUUAAUUUCUAAACACUUCAAGUGGUAUAGAUCAUAUUCAACGGUGCCGAUUGUCGAUUUGGAGGCUCUAUCAUCGAAAACAAAUAGGUGGCAACGAAGCCCGUUUGCUAUCGAUAGUAUUCUAGCUCAACUCUCUCUCUCUCUCUCUCUCUCUCUCUCUCUCUCUCUCUCUCUCUCUAUAUAUAUAUAUAUAUAUAUAUAUAUACACUAAAUAUCUUAUUUU
rnacentral:lncRNA from 1 species